rnacentral:misc_RNA from 1 species
GAAGAAGAAGAAAAAGAAGAACAAGUCCGCCGAAGACAUCGUUUCCGAUGAGCCUUUAACCGGUGACGCCGCCCUUGCCGCUACUGAGCAACAAGCUGACGCUCCCGAGGAUAUGUUUACGAUUGACGCAGCUAAGCGCAGGAAAUACGAUGAUUUGUUCCCUGUUGAAGCAAAGAAAUUCGGGUACGACCCGAAUGCUAAAGCCAAGUCCGUUGAAGAAGCCCUUGAUGACCGGGUCAAAAAGAAAGCAGACCGUUACUGUAAAUGAAUUCCUAAGCUUUUUUAGGUACUGUCUGUUAAUCCUUGUAAUUUCUAUAUGAUUUCUCAGUUUGCUGUGAUCUCGGGCUUACUUAUAACUUGACAUUAGUGUUUUUAGCCCCAGUUUUAUUGUCUGUAUCAACAGAAUCGUGUUUCGGAGAGUAGUUAAUCUUUGAUUACAGACACUUUGAGUAUUGUUGCUUUUGUUGAUGUGCUA